AGACUUCCAACAAUAGAAAAAGAAAAAAAAGAAAUUAAAAAAAAUGAUGGCUAAAUCAUCCAAUAGUCUUUCUUUCUGUCGAUCUCGGUUCUUGUCACUCUUUUCGUCAGUCUGUC
rnacentral:ribozyme from 9 species